GACGAACGCUGGCGGCGUGCUUAACACAUGCAAGUCGAACGGAAAGGCCCUGCUUUUGUGGGGUGCUCGAGUGGCGAACGGGUGAGUAACACGUGAGUAACCUGCCCUUGACUUUGGGAUAACUUCAGGAAACUGGGGCUAAUACCGGAUAGGAGCUCCUGCUGCAUGGUGGGGGUUGGAAAGUUUCGGCGGUUGGGGAUGGACUCGCGGCUUAUCAGCUUGUUGGUGGGGUAGUGGCUUACCAAGGCUUUGACGGGUAGCCGGCCUGAGAGGGUGACCGGCCACCUUGGGACUGAGGGACGGCCCAGACUCCUAAGGGAGGCAGCAGUGGGGAAUAUUGCACAAUGGGCGGAAGCCUGAUGCAGGAACGCCGCGUGCGGGAAGACGGCCUUCGGGUUGUAAACCGCUUUCGCCUGUGACGAAGCGUGAGUGACGGUAAUGGGUAAAGAAGCACCGGCUAACUACGUG
rnacentral:rRNA from 1 species